GUUGGGUGUGGUUGCUCACGCUUGUAAUCCCAGCAUUUUGGGAGGCUGAGGCAGGAGGAUUGCUUGAGGCCAGGAGUUCGAGAUCAGCCUGGGAAACAUAGUGAGACUCCAUCUCUACAAAAAAUGUUUAAAAUAGCUAGGGGUGGUGAUUUACACCUGUAAUCCUAGCUAUUCAGGAGGCUAAGGCAGGAGGAUCACUUGAGCCCAAGAGUUUGAGGUUAUGGUGAGCUAUGAUCACACCACUGCACUUCAGCCUGGGCAACAGAGUAAGACCCUGUCUCA
ensembl:misc_RNA Metazoa_SRP Metazoan signal recognition particle RNA